UAGGGAAUAUUGGACAAUGGGCGAAAGCCUGAUCCAGCAACGCCGCGUGCGCGAUGACGGCCUUCGGGUUGUAAAGCGCUUUUAGAGGAGAUGAGAAAGGACAGUAUCCUCUGAAUAAGCCUCGGCGAACUACGUGCCAGCAGCCGCGGUAAAACGUAGGAGGCUAGCGUUAUCCGGAUUUAUUGGGCGUAAAGCGCGUGCAGGCGGUCUGACAAGUUGGAUGUGAAAGCUCCUGGCUUAACUGGGAGAGGUCGUUCAAAACUGUUAGACUAGAGAAUGGGAGAGGGAGGUGGAAUUCCGGGUGUAGUGGUGAAAUGCGUAGAUAUCCGGAGGAAUACCAAAGGCGAAGGCAGUCUUCUAAGCCGAUAUUGACGCUAAACUGCGAAGGUGUGGGUAUCAAACG
rnacentral:rRNA from 1 species